GACGAACGCUGGCGGCGUGCCUAACACAUGCAAGUCGAGCGGGGAUUUAAGUGGAAGUUCUUCGGAAUGGAGAUUUAAAUUCUAGCGGCGGACGGGUGAGUAACGCGUGAACAAUCUGUCCCGGACAGGGGGAUAACACUUGGAAACAGGUGCUAAUACCGCAUAAGACCACGGCCUCGCAUGGGGCUGAGGUAAAAGGAGCAAUCCAGUUCGGGGUGAGUUCGCGUCCGAUUAGCUAGUUGGUGAGGUAACGGCCCACCAAGGCGACGAUCGGUAGCCGGCCUGAGAGGGUGAACGGCCACAUUGGAACUGAGAGACGGUCCAAACUCCUACGGGAGGCAGCAGUGGGGAAUAUUGGGCAAUGGGCGAAAGCCUGACCCAGCAACGCCGCGUGAGGGAAGAAGGUUUUCGGAUUGUAAACCUCUGUCCUAUGGGACGAAGGAAGUGACGGUACCAUAGGAGGAAGCCCCGGCUAACUACGUG
rnacentral:rRNA from 1 species